rnacentral:rRNA from 1 species
AAUAGAUACGGGUAGUCCACGCCGUAAACGAUGAGUGCUAAGUGUUAGAGGGUUUCCGCCCUUUAGUGCUGCAGCUAACGCAUUAAGCACUCCGCCUGGGGAGUACGGCCGCAAGGCUGAAACUCAAAGGAAUUGACGGGGGCCCGCACAAGCGGUGGAGCACGUGGUUUAAUUCGAAGCAACGCGAAGAACCUUACCAGGUCUUGACAUCCUCUGCCAACCCUAGAGAUAGGGUGUUCCCCUUCGGGGGACAGAGUGACAGGUGGUGCAUGGUUGUCGUCAGCUCGUGUCGUGAGAUGUUGGGUUAAGUCCCGCAACGAGCGCAACCCUUGAUCUUAGUUGCCAGCAUUUAGUUGGGCACUCUAAGGUGACUGCCGGUGACAAACCGGAGGAAGGUGGGGAUGACGUCAAAUCAUCAUGCCCCUUAUGACCUGGGCUACACACGUGCUACAAUGGAUGGUACAAAGAGCUGCGAACCCGCGAGGGUAAGCCAAUCUCAUAAAGCCAUUCUCAGUUCGGAUUGUAGG